rnacentral:tRNA from 1 species
GGAGAUGUAGCUUGAGUUUGGUGGUAGAGCACUUGCCUAGUACACAGGAGGCCCUGGGUUUGAUCCCCAGCACUGCCA